AGAGAGGCUCCUCUCGGAGCCACACCAGAGAUUAAAGAUUAUUUAUU
rfam:Phaethon lepturus contig62629, whole genome shotgun sequence.